rnacentral:rRNA from 1 species
UACAGAGGUCCCAAGCGUUGUUCGGAUUUACUGGGCGUAAAGGGCGCGUAGGUGGUAGGCUAAGUCUGGUGUGAAAGCUCUGAGCUCAACUCAGAAAUGGCACUAGAUACUAGUUUGCUUGAGGAUUGGAGGGGAGACUGGAAUUCUCGGUGUAGCAGUGAAAUGCGUAGAUAUCGAGAGGAACACCAGUGGCGAAGGCGAGUCUCUGGACAACUCCUGACACUGAGGCGCGAAAGCUAGGGGAGCAAACGGG